AAGAAAUUUUUCUUAAGAAAUUAUUUUUUAAACAAAGUGAUGACGUAAGAUCUGAUGCAAAAAAUGAAAAUAGCUAAAAGAAAAAUCCAAGGAUUAAAUGGAAUCUCCCCGGUAGAGCCACCAAGUAGGUAGAAGUAUCAAUGCCGUCAUCUUCCCUUUGAGUAGCAUUCUGAGUGACUUUUGGUUCAGUUGAUUCAAGAGGAGAAGAUAAGAAAAU
rnacentral:misc_RNA from 1 species